GCGGGUGUAGCUCAGUUGGUUAGAGCGCCGGCCUGUCACGCCGGAGGUCGCGGGUUCGAGCCCCGUCACUCGCGCC
rnacentral:tRNA from 1 species